rnacentral:rRNA from 1 species
CCUACGGGUGGCAGCAGUGGGGAAUAUUGGACAAUGGGCGAAAGCCUGAUCCAGCCAUGCCGCGUGUGUGAAGAAGGCCUUCGGGUUGUAAAGCACUUUCAGUGGGGAAGAAAGCCUUGGGGCUAAUACCCUCGAGGAAGGACAUCACCCACAGAAGAAGCACCGGCUAACUCCGUGCCAGCAGCCGCGGUAAUACGGAGGGUGCGAGGUUAAUCGGAAUUACUGGGCGUAAAGCGCGCGUAGGCGGUCUGAUAAGCCGGUUGUGAAAGCCCCGGGCUCAGCCUGGGAACGGCAUCCGGAACUGUCAGGCUAGAGUGCAGGAGAGGAAGGUAGAAUUCCCGGUGUAGCGGUGAAAUGCGUAGAGAUCGGGAGGAAUACCAGUGGCGAAGGCGGCCUUCUGGACUGACACUGACGCUGAGGUGCGAAAGCGUGGGUAGCAAACAGGAUUAGAUACCCGUGUAGUC